rnacentral:rRNA from 1 species
UACGUAGGGGGCAAGCGUUGUCCGGAAUCAUUGGGCGUAAAGCGCGUGUAGGCGGUUCAGUAAGUCUGCUGUGAAAGUCCAGGGCUCAACCCUGGGAUGCCGGUGGAUACUGCUGGACUAGAGUGCGGAAGAGGCGAGUGGAAUUCCCGGUGUAGCGGUGAAAUGCGCAGAUAUCGGGAGGAACACCAAUUGCGAAGGCAGCUCGCUGGGACGUCACUGACGCUGAGACGCGAAAGCGUGGGGAGCAAACAGG